GGGAUUCAUGGGAUGAAGAAUCAUGCUUUGUGCAUCUAGGUGACAUAGGUGGGAGAUAAUGCCUGUUUGGAUCAGACAAAUUAGGAGAUAGGUGUCUGGAAGUUCUGCCUAUUAAUGGAUGAGGGAUACUGACAGGAUCAGUUUCUGAACGCAAAUGAGUCUGCACAAGAUUUGCACCUGAAAGAUAUGUGGGUGGAGAUGGUGAUGAUGAAAAUGGAGGGGAAAGUUGGUCAUCAUCAAAACUAGUUGUUUUCUGGUGAGUUGAAUAUUUGUAGUUAGGUGGAAUCCUCUGUCCAUAUACAUUACUGACUGAAGUUGAAAGCUCAUAUGGUGCAUGGUACAAAGGUGGAGAUCCUACAUAUGGCUGAGGUAAAGAAGGUGCCCUGAAGAGACCACUUGUCCAACUCUGCGGGCGCUGAACAGGUGCUGAACAAGAGGACUGUGUCCUUCUCAAUGGAAAUGAAGUAUUAUGAACACCCUUAUCUGUCGAGUUCAAAGGGAAUGACCUCAGAGGAUCAGUGAGUGGACUACCAACAUAAUCUGUAAUGAUCUCAGGUGGAAAGGAUGCAGAACUCUCCAGGUUAAAGUCCACCAGAUUUUCACGAUAUGUCACAGAUAAGGAAAGACGGCCUUGCUGGGCAUCAACUGAAGUAAAAGUAAAUUGUUUCAUCAUCUCCUCCUCUGCCCUUGAGAAUGGCUCGCUAAAUGAAGAUACCUUAAAAUUAAUAUCAAAACAACUACUCUGACUUGACGAAGAUAGUUUCCUGAAGGCCUUGAAUGCAGGCAGGAGCUUCAACAUCGAAUAAACGGAACGAAGUAGUAUGAUAGACUUCUUGUACAUUUUCUUGUAAGAGGAAUCACCCAUUUGAGGAACCAUAGACCUCCGAUUUUCACAUUGCACGACCCACCUCUCUAUAAUGGUUUCUGUAUAUGCCCCUGCAAAUGCUUUACCUGAACUGUGCUUCAAUGAAGUACAAUCUUUAUCUUGAACAAGUAUUAUAUCUAUUAUCAUUGGCUCCCCAUGCAACAGAUUCAAGUUUUCAAAAACCGCAGGACGAUCUCCCAACACCAUAUUAAACCACUUGUCACUCCUCUUCACUUCUUCAAACCCACCAUACGCUCUUAUCGAAGGAACCCUCAAGUUCAAAAUAAUAUGCAAGCUUUUUAGAAGAUAUUGAGCAAGUAUUUGCUCAAAU
rnacentral:misc_RNA from 1 species